GACGAACGCUGGCGGCGUGCCUAAUACAUGCAAGUCGACCUUAGUGGCGACCGGGUGAGUAAACCGUGGGUAACCUGCCCCUCAGAAGGGGAUAACACUUGGAAACAGGUGCUAAUACCGUAUACUGAUGGAUGGACCCGCGGUGCAUUAGCUAGUUGGUUAUGUAACGGCUCACCAAGGCCACGAUGCAUAGCCGCGCUGAUGGGGUGAUCGGCCACAUUGGAACUGUGACACGGCCGAAACUCCGACGGGAGGCAGCAGUAGGGAAUCUUCGGCAAUGGACGAAAGUCUGACCGAGCAACGCGGCGUGAGUGAAGCAGGUUUCCGGAUCGUAAAACUCUGUUGUUAGAGAAGCGGUAUCUAACCAGAAAGCCACGGCUAACUACGUGCCAGCAGCCGCGGUAAUUC
rnacentral:rRNA from 1 species